CUUUUUGCGGUCUGGGCUUGCUGUCAUGUGUCUAUCCAGGAAGCCCUUACCCCAAAAAGCAU
ensembl:miRNA